CAAUAGCGUAUAUUAAAGUUGUUGCAGUUAGAACGCUCGUAGUCGGAUUUCGGGGCGGGUUGACCGGUCUGCCGAUGGGUACGCACUGGCCGACGCGUCCUUCCUUCCGGAGACCGUCCCUACUCUUAACUGAGCGGGGGCGGGAGACGGAACGUUUACUUUGAAAAAAUCAGAGUGUUUCAAGCAGGCAUCUCGCUCUUGCAUGGAUUAGCAUGGGAUAAUGAAAUAGGACUUUGGUGCUAUUUUGUUGGUUUCGAACACCGAAGUAAUGAUGAGAAGGGACAGUCAGGGGCACUCGUAUUCCGCCGAGAGAGGUGAAAUUCUCAGACCAGCGGAAGACGAACCACUGCGAAAGCAUUUGCCAGGGAUGUUUUCACUGA
rnacentral:rRNA from 1 species